rnacentral:rRNA from 1 species
UUACCGAGUGCUGGGUCCUUCGGGGCCCAACCUCCCACCCGUGCUUACCGUACCCUGUUGCUUCGGCGGGCCCGCCUUCGGGCGGCCCGGGGCCUGCCCCCGGGACCGCGCCCGCCGGAGACCCCAAUGGAACACUGUCUGAAAGCGUGCAGUCUGAGUUGAUUGAUACCAAUCAGUUAAAACUUUCAACAAUGGAUCUCUUGGUUCCGGCAUCGAUGAAGAACGCAGCGAAAUGCGAUAACUAAUGUGAAUUGCAGAAUUCAGUGAAUCAUCGAGUCUUUGAACGCACAUUGCGCCCCCUGGUAUUCCGGGGGGCAUGCCUGUCCGAGCGUCAUUUCUCCCCUCCAGCCCCGCUGGUUGUUGGGCCGCGCCCCCCCGGGGGCGGGCCUCGAGAGAAACGGCGGCACCGUCCGGUCCUCGAGCGUAUGGGGCUCUGUCACCCGCUCUAUGGGCCCGGCCGGGGCUUGCCUCGACCCCCAAUCUUCUCAGAUUGACCUCGGAUCAGGUAGGGAUACCCGCUGAACUUAAGCAUAUCAAUAAGCGGAGGAAAAGAAACCAACCGGGAUUGCCUCAGUAACGGCGAGUGAAGCGGCAAGAGCUCAAAUUUGAAAGCUGGCCCCUCCGGGGUCCGCGUUGUAAUUUGCAGAGGAUGCUUUGGGUGCGGCCCCCGUCUAAGUGCCCUGGAACGGGCCGUCAGAGAGGGUGAGAAUCCCGUCUUGGGCGGGGUGUCCGUGCCCGUGUAAAGCUCCUUCGACGAGUCGAGUUGUUUGGGAAUGCAGCUCUAAAUGGGUGGUAAAUUUCAUCUAAAGCUAAAUACUGGCCGGAGACCGAUAGCGCACAAGUAGAGUGAUCGAAAGAUGAAAAGCACUUUGAAAAGAGAGUUAAACAGCACGUGAAAUUGUUGAAAGGGAAGCGCUUGCGACCAGACUCGCCCUCGGGGUUCAGCCGGCACUCGUGCCGGUGUACUUCCCCGGGGGCGGGCCAGCGUCAGCUUGGGCGGCCGGUCAAAGGCCUCCGGAAUGUAGUGCCCCCCGGGGCACCUUAUAGCCGGAGGUGCAAUGCGGCCAGCCUGGG